UAUAAGUUAAGAAUUAGUAUAUUAAGAUGAUUUGACCCGAUGCACAUAUAUAAGUAUAAAAAGUUUACAUAUAUAUAUUUGUCAAGAAUUAAGAAGUAAGAAAUAAUGUUUUUAUUAUUAAGAUUUUUCCCUUACCUUACAAUGUUGGAUUAAUAAGUUAUUAAUAUUUAUAAAUAUCAAUCUUUCAUCUUUAUUUCUUCUAAACUUUCUUUUAAAACAAUAAUCCCUAAUUUUUUUUUAAUAGUUCCCAAAUCUUUUGUGUUAGAGUGUUGGGUUUUCUCAAUUAAACUUAUAUAAUGGUUGCACGUAAAUGAUUUGGAUUAAAAAAAUUAUCAAUUAUUAUUCUCCCUUUCAUUUUUCUGCCACUAAUAUUGUUAUUUCUUAUUCUAUUCAAUUGUUGUCUCUUCCUUUUUCCUCAAAUUAUUUGCUACUUUUCUGCUUCACGCUCUUAUUUCAGUGCCACCUUUUGGUGUUUUUUUGCCACUGCACACUUCAGCAAAAUUGUAUGAGUCCGUUUUGGUGGUUGCUUUUCAGGUGAGAGAUAUUUUAUUUUAUUGGCUUUCGAAUGUCUAAAUGUUCUUUUUUAAAAUAUGUUAUUUGUAAGAUAUGUAAAAUUGUAAAAUUGUAAAAUAUGUUACACGUUCCCACACUCUCUCAUAAUCUUAUAUUUAUUUGUAAGCUUACCAAGGAUCAUAAUUAUGCAGUAAUUUUUUUUUUAUUUUCAUUGUACUUUUCAAGAUCUUGCAACAAAGAAAACGAUUGCACUUCUGAAGGAACAAAGAAUGUUGUACUAUUUGUUUGGUAAAAGAACUUGCCAGAAGGUAUUGUCUUCGUCUCUCCAAUCUCAGUCGAACUCUCAUGUGUCACAAGAUGUCUCUAGCACAAGCAUCUUGUUCGUCCUCCUUUUUUUCUUGAUGAGGUCUUUGUUUCCUUCUUUGUUUAUAAAACAAUUUAUUGAAUCAUGUAAGUGUGAUGUUUGUAACACCCUAAUUUAUUGUUAUACCUU
rnacentral:lncRNA from 1 species